GCGCCAGUCGAAUAGCGGCAAUUUCACGACGCUGUAAACGUCGCGCCUUCGGGCUACGGGGGUUCGAGUCCCUCCUGGCGCA
rnacentral:tRNA from 1 species